GAGCUGGCCUGAAGAACUUCUUGGGAAUAAAGACUCCAAAGAGAAGCUGAGUGUUGCUUUGGGACUGCCUGGCUGGAACUUCCCUGUUUUACUUUGAUGUUUUGAUUGCUGUGGGGCAGGACAAGACUGAAGCCACUGGGGACUAGACUGGCCCGUAGACAGUCAAGAGGCAAAUUGUGUAGAGAGACAAAGCCUUGAUUAUAUCAUUUGGGUCUCAGAAGCCGUGCCUGAUCUCUUCCCAGCACAUUUGUGAGGAAACUUCACCUUGACCAAUUUGAGGACCAC
rnacentral:lncRNA from 1 species